rnacentral:rRNA from 1 species
AUGAAGGCAGCAUUAAAAACUAUCCUCCCACAUACUCUGCAUAAGUUGUGUUGGUGGCAUAUCAUGAAGAAGCACAAAGACCACCUCGCCUUGCUAUAUAAGACGCACGAGAAACUUAAGGAUGACCUCAAUGCGGUGCUGAACCACCCACUAAUGCCGUCAGAAUUUGAACGAGCAUGGAAGGACCUCAUUCAGAGAUACAACUUGCAAGACGAUGAAAGAAGCGAGAGCAUGAACCGCAUACUGAAGAAAAACUUUGUCAAAGAGAAGCAUGAUCUCCAUCUGUUUGCUCAGCAGGUGGACAAGUGCAUUCAGACCAGGAAGGUCGUCGAGCACGCAGAGACAGUAGCAAAUGAGUCAGAGGUAAAGACAACAACCCAGUUUGGGUUCGAAGUUCAGUUAUCAAAAGUGUAUACAAGGGCAGUGUUUGCAGAUUUCAAAGAAACACUCUACCGUAGCACUGCAUUCAGAGCAGAAUGGUGCCCUGAGAACCCGACAAAGUAUCACGUACACCACUACAACAGAUCGGAUGCAUUUGAUUGGGCAAGGCAUAAUUUCCAAGUGCUCGCCGAUGAACAGAAAGGUGUCUACGAAUGUGAAUGCAAACUCUGGACACACACAGGGCUCUUUUGCGUCCAUGUGUUAUGCAUGCUUUCUCAUCUGAGAGUACUCAAGAUUCCUGAGGUGUACAUCAUGAAAAGAUACACCCGUAACGCAAGAUCAAAUGCGACGUUUGACAGAAGAGACUAUGAACAAACAGCACCAGAUGGAACAUCGCUUUUUUGCCAUAGAAAUUUGCUGACAGAAACAGCAAUGGAUCUUGCAAACAGAGCGACAAGGUCCGACGCUGGAUGCGACAGAGCGUUGUCUGGUAUGAGGGCACUGAUCGAGGAAGUUGAUGUGCUCAACGAAGAAGAAGCAGCAAAACUAAAGCAAGCAGAGAAAUCCCAGAAUGACAAUAAUGCCGAGCAAGUAGAAAAUACCGAACACAGCGGAACUGGUGCUAUAAAAAAAGAAACAAUUCUUCCACCUCCUGUUUCAAACAACAGAGGAAGGAAGAAAGGGGGAGACGCAACGCAGAAAAAGGUUGCAUGCGAGGAGAAAAAUGAUGACAAAAACAGUAAGCCACAGCCUGAGCUGGACAGUGAUGGUCACCCACUGGGAAUAAACAGCAUCUGCAAAAAGAGGAAGAGACACAAUUCAAGAACCUACCCCAAAAGAACAAGAUCAGAAAAUGAGGAAGACGAACAAGAUGAAAUCAAAGAAGAAGAUGGCAACACAACUGAAGAAGAAAUGGCUUAUGAAGAAGCAGAUGAAGAAGAGGAGGAACAAGAAGAGAGUGAAGAGGACGAAGAACAUGAAGAAACUAAAGAAGCAGUGCCUUAUGAAGAAACAGAUGAUGAAGAUGAGGAAGAGCAAGAAGAGGAGGAAGAAGAGACUGAAGAGGACGAAGAACAUGAAGAAAGAAUGCCAACAAGACCACCACAAGGGAAUGCUGCUGUACAGAAACAACCGAGAACGACACCACUUUCAAAAAACAAGGUAGGAGCACGAAAGGAUGCAGUUCACAGCACUGGAAAACAAAAGCAGCCAUCAACCAGCACGCGGGGAGCAAAGAAGGAUGCAGUUCACAUCACUGGAAAACGAAAGCAGCCAGCAACCAGCACGCGGGGAGCAAAGAAGGAUGCAGUUCACAUCACUGGAAAAUGA